rnacentral:rRNA from 1 species
GACGAACGCUGGCGGCGUGCUUAACACAUGCAAGUCGAACGGAAAGGCCCUGCUUUUGUGGGGUGCUCGAGUGGCGAACGGGUGAGUAACACGUGAGUAACCUGCCCUUGACUUUGGGAUAACUUCAGGAAACUGGGGCUAAUACCGGAUAGGAGCUCCUGCUGCAUGGCGGGGGUUGGAAAGUUUCGGCGGUUGGGGAUGGACUCGCGGCUUAUCAGCUUGUUGGUGGGGGAGUGGCUUACCAAGGCUUUGGCGGGUAGCCGGCCUGGGGGGGUGACCGGCCACAUUGGGACUGGGGUACGGCCCAGACUCCUACGGGAGGCAGCAGUGGGGAAUAUUGCACAAUGGGCGGAGGCCUGAUGCAGCAACGCCGCGUGCGGGAUGACGGCCUUCGGGUUGUAAACCGCUUUCGCCUGUGACGAAGCGUGAGUGACGGUAAUGGGUAAAGAGGCACCGGCUAACUACGUG